rnacentral:lncRNA from 10 species
GCAUCGUGCCUUCCCCUGGUGGCCUCCGAAGCUCAUGCAAGUUUGCAGGAAGAGACAUUCAGAGUGAAAUACGGCCUGAAAAGCCACUCCAAGUUGUAUUAUUUAUGAAACACAACACUCAACACAAGAAGAAACCCAAUACAGCACAUCAUUCUGCCUGCUCCGUGGCUUCUGCUUCUCAAGCGACUUAAAAUGAUUGUCUCACUUUGUCUCCCAGGCUGGAGUGCAGUGGCGUGAUCUCGGCUCACUGCAACCCCCACCUCCCUGGUUCAAGUAAUUCUCCUGCCUCAGCCCCCCGAGUAGCUGAGAUUACAGGAUCCUCUCUCUGGGAGCCCUCAUCUACCUCCAGCUGCAAUCAUCACCACAGGAGUGAGAGAGAGACUUGGACCUGAGCUGGACCCUCCAGCCCUCCUUCGCUGAACUACCUUCCAACCUUAUGUUCCUACUGAUGUUUACCAGGUUAUUCAAUAAAUAUUGUAUGUUCUGUGGCAGUGGCCACCAGUCAUUUUCAAAUACCUGUUUUCCCUUCUUCCUUACCAAAAACACCCAUGGUUUUUAGCUGGACACCUGGUUGCCCAAAAUAAACACUGCAUUUGCAGCCUCCCUUG